UCAAUGAUUGUAGCAGUAGCAGAGCCCAGAAAAAAUCAUAGAAAGAGGGGGCAUGGCAUGAGGGUGCCAGUGUGUCAAGACUAAUGGGUGAACUCGAACCCCACCCUUCUUCCCGUCCUCCGCCACCCGAUUCACUCGACGAUCCCCCUCCUCCGCCGCCGUCCGUAUCAUGUGACGAUCCUCCUCCUCCGCCGCCGCCGCCGCCUCGAUUCGAUCCCAGCCGAAUGAUUGGUAUCAUUAAAAGGAAGGCCUUGAUAAAAGACUUAGCAGCGGUAUACCACACAGAGUGCCUUGCAUAUUGUCAAGAACUUCUGGAACUCCAAAGAAGAUGGGAGGAGUUGGUCCUCAAAAUGCUUGCAGCCGAAAAUGGAGACUAAAACUCCGGAGAAUCCGAGGAAAGGAACGAUGAGGCCUCCUAAACGCCAAAAAAAAACUCGCUAGAAUGCUUGUACCUUGGUGUGUAAUGGAAAUCUAUGUGGCUGCAUAAAAAUUGCCUUUUCCAACAAUACUGAAAGCAGACUUUCAGAGAGCAAAUGGUAGGAUCUACUAGAAGUCUUUAUUUUGUAUGGAUCAUUAUUGUAUUGUACAUAUCAGACUCUUGCUCUGGUCGAGUGGGAUCUUGUUGGAAUUUAAAUUAUCAUAAACAUUGACACUUGUUUCUAGUGAAGCCUAUGAAAUAGGCACAAUGGUUCUUUUCUUGA